rfam:Corchorus olitorius cultivar O-4 contig09476, whole genome shotgun sequence.
GCCUGAAUGGUGGAAUGGUAUACACAGGAGACUUAAAAUCUCCCGCCCGUAACGGGCUUGUGGGUUCGAAUCCCACUUCAG